GAUCACUGAAAGGAAGAGUGAAGAAUACAUUGCUCUACUCUUAAUUUACACAUGAGGAAACUCAUUCACAGAUUUAUCUGCAGCGAUACCUACACUUUAAUGGUCAGAAUGAACACAACUCUGUGAAUAUACUAAAGACCAUUGUACAUGUUAAAUGGGUGAAUUCUACAGUAAGUGAAUUAUAUUUUAAUAAAAUUGUUGCCAAGGAAAACAAAAGAAUUGGGGAUAUGGGACUAGAGUUCAUGUCUGCUGACAUCCAAUUCAGAGAAAAAAAAAGUAAUAUCCUAACUGCCUUAAUAGAACUAUGAUACAAAGUAACAAAAGUUAAAAAGGUAUGAACUUUUCUGCUGCCUUAAACCUCAGAAAGCCUACCUUUCUUACCACCAAAUGCAAUUAUCCAUGCCAUGGACAUUGGGUCUGAUCAAAGGGUUUGGGGAAUUUAUCAACAAGAAGGCUUUGAUUUGUCAUUUCCCUUGAACUGGUCAUAUUCUGAUUAACAUAUUCAUGAAUGGUCAAAAAUACUUGAAGAUGAGUAAUGAUUUUAACAUUCUUCCUGCUAAUGUCAUUUAUGUAAUUAUGAUGACACCAUCUGACUUUUAUUGCUGCCAUCACAGUCAAACCUUGGGGGGGAUAGGGGAUAAUUCAGAUAUAGUAUUCCUCUGCUGUUUCAGAGAAAAUUACAGGACAAACCCACAUGAGCUCCUAGCAUGAGACCACCCCUAGCCAGAGGGCCACACAAGUUGGUUGAGGAGCAGGGUCUCAGGGGGAUGGUCCCAGCCCACCUGUGCUCUAACAGCUCUGAGGCUCCCGGUCAUAAAGUUAGCCUGUAAAUCUUGCACCCUGUCAUCCCUUCCAAGCUUUGGAACUGUUACUUUCUGAUCCUAUAUAUUUGUGGAAGAUUUUGCUCAUACCUUGUUGUAAUUCUGUGAAUUUAUUUUCCCUUUAAAGCCAAACCUUGGGAAAGAGCACACAUGUUCAUUCAGUUAUUCACUUAUUUACCCAAGCACAUUUGUUUAUUCACUUAUCUAAGCACAUAUAACAAACACCACAUGACUUGGUCCCAUGCUAUAGAUAGUUAGGCCACUACCUUUCCUAUGCCAUGAAAAGGUUCCUUUUUAAGACUCUCAUCUUGGCCAGGCAUGGUGGCCCACACCUGUAAUCCCAGCACUUUGGGAGGCCAAGGUGGGUGGAUCACGAGGUCAGGAGUUUGAGACUAGCCUGGCCAACAUAGUGAAACCGCAUCUCAACUAAAACUACAAAAAAAA
rnacentral:lncRNA from 1 species